UGAUUAUUAAGUAUGCUAAUGUGCAUAAAUAACUUUAUAUGUGUUUCAUUUUAUUUAUUUAUAAAUGCAAAAUUUAAAUACAUAUAUUGAGGUAAGUUGGAUAUAAAAAUGAAUAAUAACAAUGAACAAAGAAGACAUAAAUAUAAGGAGGGGAACAUCAAUGUAGGCUUUAGGAAGCCUCAAUUAAUAUAGAUUCUGAUGGACAUAAAGAAGAUGAGGAAUACUUGGACUCUUUGUUUUGGGUAGAAUUUAGUUGGAAUAGUCAAAAAGAAUAAAGGAAAAUUCAGUGUUGUUUUUAAUGCCCAGGUGAUUCUUUCAUACUGGGUGUAGGGGUAAGUUCAAACCCUUUAGAAACAUGUAGAAUUAUAGAACUUAGAGCUAGAAAGGAUAUUAGAGUUCUAGUUACCUCACUUUUCAAUUAUGGAAUCACACACACACACACACACACACACACACACACACACACACAUACACCACACACCACACACAAACACGUCCCAGCUAAAAUCCACUGAUUCUGCAGAAAACAUUUUAGAUGACAGAAAAAUCAACUUUCUUCUGUGUAACUUUUCACUCAGAAUUAUUGGAUAUCAGAUUUAGAACAUACUUUAGACCCCAUCUUGUCCAUCAUGCUUCCUAAGGAGCAAAUCACAUUAUAGCUUUAUAAUUUUGUUUCUUUUUAAUCAUGAUGUUAAUAUUUAAUUAUGUUUAGACAAAAUAUACGUAUUUGUUAACAGAUGUGUUACUUAAGCUAUUUAAAAGAUGACUGAGUUUUUGACUACCUAACUGAUAUGGAUAAUGGAUAAUGCAAAAUUCUAAAAUAUUUUCCUAAUGAAUUUCUAUUUAUUUACUCAUAUUUCUUCUGUAUUUUCUAAUUAAAUUUGUAUUUUAAACUUCAAUCUCCAUAAAAGAAAUAUGUGCUUUUGCUUUAUAUCUUCAUAUAGAAUUAGCAUUUACUUUGAUUGUUCCAUGCCAAAAAAAAGUUCAGAUUGUGAAGAAAGAAAUCUACCUUGUGAUGUUGGGCUCUCCUCCCUGUUCUCCUCCACUCCAGCUUUUCCUUUGUACAUGCCCAAAAGUCUCUGCAUUGGUUAGCUUGUAAAUUUUCCUGGAAUAAUAGAUGUGGGGACUGGAUCAGUGAAAGUCAGGAUAUAAUGUGGAGGUUUAAACUAAGAAGGAAAAGAUGUCUGUUGAUCUCUUUACCAACUAUCUAUGUAGGAAACUGGAAUGGAAACCAAAGAAUAGAUAAUUGUGGUGAUCAAGCUGAUAAGCCACUGAGGGAAAAUAGUACAAAUUAAAGUUUCAGCAACAGGUGUAAGGCGCAUAGUCUUUAGUCUUACUUUAUUUUUACAAAAGUAAUAAGAUAGCUUAAUUACAUGAUUAGAAUACCUAGAGUCCAGCUGGAAUAGUGUGUUGUUUUCCUUUUUUUUCCUUUCCUGUAUUUUUUUCUUUUAUAGGUGUAUAGAUUGUAAGAUUACUUUGUUAUUUUACUUUAUCUCUCAGUAAUUAUUUAUACACGUAAUAUAUAUUAUGACUGACCUAAGACUUAUCAUAUAUGAUAUAAUUUGAUGAACUAUGUAUUAUAAACUUGUUUUAUUAGGAACUAAACAUUGUUAGGAGCUAAACAUAUUUUACCAAAUUAUACACAUAUUUAUUCAUAUGUAUAUAGACAUUUAAUAUGUUAUGUAAUUAAAAUUUCAGUAGUGGAUCAUUGCCAAAAGAAUUAUAUUGUAAUGAUUUUAUGUUAAAAUUUAUCCUAAGAAACAAUAUGUAUUUUAGCAUAAAUUGUUAAAUGCACACAUAAAUUAGCAUUAUUUAACUUUACUUCUGGCCACUUGCAUAAUCUAUGAUUGAGUGGAUUUCCCCUACUAUUAAUUAGUUGAAUUAGGUGGCAGAGAAGGAGUGUAUCUGAAAAGUUCUUGAAUAGAAAAAACAUACAAAUCACAUAGUAAAUAAGUGAGGAUCAGGAAGAGUAAUAGAAUUAAAGAGUCAGAAGUGGGAGGAAGUAUUCAAAGUAAAGUUAGAAUCAAAAUCUGGAAUCUCAACAAAAGGAUGACAUGGUGUUCACAAGAGACAAAGUUACUAAGUUCCUAGCUAUCAAACUGGUUGAAAUGUCAUUCCAGUUUGCCACAUUCAUUUGGCUUGCUGUGCCUUCUUAAUUUUGACUUUAUAUUACCAGCACCAUCCCAUAUUUUCUGAAAGUUCUUGUAGCUGUACAAUUUCUGUAACUUUUGUCUUCAUUGUUCUCCAGUAAAACUUGAUCUUGUAUAUUUAAAAUAAUUUUAGAUUGUUCUAGAAAUUGGGGAUACACUAAAACCAGAAUAAGCCAUUUAGAUUUAUUCUUUGCUAGUCAUUCUCUACAUCAGCCUGAAAAUAAUCUGGAGCUGGUUAUUUUAUAAUUUUGAGUGCAGGUGAAAGGAAUAGCACCAUAUUCUAGGCUUUUACUACAAUAUGGUUAGCACUUAGCCUGUGUAAAUAUGAUCUAUCCCUUUAGUAAAUCUAACUAGAAACAUUUUCUGGGGACUUUCCAGGAGUGUGGACUUUUUGGAUUCCUGCCCAUGAUAUGAAUUUGGUUUUUCUUUGCUUGAGCUUCCUUCUCCAUUCUCAUUAUGAACACUUGGCUUUUAAUUAUUUCUCUCUUUUUCCUCUUCAGAAUUCUUUGCUUUCCUUGCUUGUAGUUUAAUAAUUUUAAGUCUUUUAAGAUUAAUUAUGUUGAAGGGAACAUACUACACUAUAGUAAAAAAUUGCCCAAUAUUGGGAAAAGACUAUGAGAUCAGUACUCACAAAAUCUGAGUUUGAAUUUUGGCUUUUUUCCUUAACAUUCUAUUGACUUUGGGCAAGUCAUAUCCCUUCUGUGAGCUUCAAUUUCCAAAACUACUAAGUUAGAGCUUUGGAUAGAUUGAUCUUCAUGACCCUUUAUAGAUCAGUCCUAUGUUAAUAAAUAAUUAACAAAAAGUUGCAAAAUUUCUCCUUAAUUGUUAGAUUCCAAGGAGACAGAGGUCUAAAUCAAAGCUGUCCCAGGUUUAGGAACAUCAAGAAGAUUAAAUGUGCUUUGAAAAUUGAAUGAAAUCAUCUUGUCAUCAAUCAUCUCUCAUGACAAUUGGAAAGUCUAUCUUUAGGUCUCUGGGGCAGACACUGCUGCCAACUGUUUUCCUGGGGAUGCUGCUGAGAUGAAAAUUCCAAAUUCCCUGGUCCUCUGGAGGGGAGAAAAAUCAAGAUAUUCUUCUCUUCUUGCCUCCCAGCCCUCAAUGGAUUCCUACUCAGGGGCUUGGUUGGAGGCCUCUAUCACCAAAUUCUGAGAUGCUUAAGAAUCUCUAAAAUUAGCUCACUGUUUAAAAAAAAAAACAUUCACAAGGCAUAACCAAGUGUCUUGACCAAUCCAAAUUAGACUUCUGUCUUACUUAAUUGAGCUUUGUCCAGGCUAUGUUUACACUUAGUUCACCCCAUCAGGUGGAUUUUUCACUCCAGAUGUAUUCUCUACCUGAUAAAGGUAGUAUGUUUUUAGUUACCUUAUAAUGGAUGGAAUGCACUGUUUUAUUGAUGUACUCAAUCAUCUUCACCUUUACAUAUUCAGUGAAGAAAUUAUUAUAAUCUGUAUUUACACAAUAGAAAAGAUGGGAGGGAAAAAAGCACAUUGGUUCUCAGUUUUUAUGGAAAAAAUAUUAAUGAGUUAUGUAUUUUUCCAAAUUAAAAAAUUCAGACACAAACUGGUACAAGAUAAAAGCAAACUGCUACUAUUUUGUGUAUUCGUGUAUGUUUAUAUUUUAAUGAAAUAUAGUUGAAUGCUCUGAAACUCUUUUUGCUUUCAUAUUAAAGUAGAUUUAUGACCUAAAGAUCAUUUGCAUCAGGCAAAUAAAAGAUAAGUAAAGUACAUAUUUAUAUUUUGAUAUCACAAUAUUGGAUGUGUUUUUAGUUGUUUAUUUUGGGCAUAUCUUUCAUAUUUGUAAAAUGAGUGAAAGGAAACAAACAAGCAAAACAUAGUCAUUAUAAAAGUCAUUGCAACAGAAUAUAUCUGACUUACCUAUAGAAGUUAAUUGACAAGGAAGUCACACUUCCCAAGUUAUAGAAUUGUUACUAAUGUAACUAGUUGAUUCUUACAGUAAUGUAUUAAAAUUAUAAUUAUAAAAUUAAUUUUCAAGGGUCUGAACCACCAAAGAUCUUAUACCAUCACUGUUUGGCCUAUAAAUACUGCUUGAUGUUAGGAACUUAAUAACUUUUUCAUCUCAGAUGGAUAUUCUAAAUUAUAGGUAAUAACAUUAGCAGAAAAUUCCACAUGGCCUGAAAUAUAAAAUAUGAUGCCCAAGAAAAGGACAUGUAAAGAUAAAAUUAGAACACAAGAUUAUCUAAUUUCUAUACUGUCUAGAUAUUAGAUUCUCCAAAUUUAACCUUUUUUCCCCUUAAGUUUUGCUAUUUGACAAUGAAACAAAUUUUGUUCUAGUUCUGUAUCACUGACAAUUUAUUUGAUAUUUGAAUUGGAUGACCCAGAGAUUUGUGCACAAUUCUUGCAACAUACUAGGUUUUUAGUAAAUUUUUUGUUAUAUCUAUCACCAACUCCAUACGUUUAUAGUAAGGAUCAAAUGAGAACACAUGUAAAGGUUCUUUACAAACUUUAAAGCAUUAUGUAACUGCUCUUAAAAUUGUUAAAUUUUAUGAUUGCUGUAGAGUUGAAAUUACCUUGACAAGAAUAAAACUGUUUAUUGGAGUCACUUUCGUAGUGUUGGAAAUGUAGAAAUGUUCACAGAAUUGAAAUUUAUUAAAAAACAAAAAAACAA